GACGAACGCUGGCGGCGUGCUUAACACAUGCAAGUCGAACGGAAAGUCCUUCAUCUUGCUGCUUUUACUCUAUUGGCUAACGUUUGAGUAACACGUUUUUGAUCUGCCUUUCACUUCGUGAUAAUCUUGUUAAACUGGUUCUAAUACCGGAUAUUCCAGCUGUUUAUUGUCUGUUUUGGACAUUUUUUUCGGUUCAAGGUGAUCUCGCUGCCUAUCAGCUUGUUGGUGGGGUAAUGGCCUACCAAGGCUUCGACGGGUAGCCGGCCUGAGAGGGUGUACGGCGACAUUGGGACUGAGAUACGGCACAGAAUGCUACGGGAGGCAGCAGUGGGGAAUAUUGCAGAAUGGGAGGAAGCAUGAUGCAGAGAAGCAGCGUGGGGGAUGAAGGGAGUCGGGUUGUAAACAAAUUGAGAAAGGGAAGAAGAUAUUGUGACGGUAACUGUAUAAGAAGCAACGGCUAACUACGUG
rnacentral:rRNA from 1 species